CCUACGGGAGGCAGCAGUGAGGAAUAUUGGUCAAUGGGCGGGAGCCUGAACCAGCCAAGUCGCGUGAGGGAAGACGGUCCUAUGGAUUGUAAACCUCUUUAGGCGGGGAGCAAUGACGGGCACGUGUGCCCGGAGGGAGAGUACCCGCAGAAUAAGCAUCGGCUAACUCCGUGCCAGCCGCCGCGGUAAUACGGAGGAUGCGUGCGUUAUUCGGAUUUAUUGGGUUUAAAGGGUGCGUAGGCGGAUUUUUAAGUCAGCGGUAAAAUGUCCGGGCUCAACCCGGGCCGGCCGUUGAAACUGGGGAUCUUGAGUGGGCGAGAAGUAUGCGGAAUGCGUGGUGUAGCGGUGAAAUGCAUAGAUAUCACGCAGAACUCCGAUUGCGAAGGCAGCAUACCGGCGCCCGACUGACGCUGAGGCACGAAAGCGUGGGGAUCGAACAGGAUUAGAUACCCCAGUAGUC
rnacentral:rRNA from 1 species